GCUUUGAUAGUAUAAAAAUUACUCAGGUCUUGUAAAUCUGAAAUGAGAAAUCCAUUCUCUCAAAGCA
rnacentral:tRNA from 1 species